UUUGCCCUUGAGACGCUACAGUGGCUGCAGUGUCGCUGUUGUGCUAUAAGUGGGCAGACAGUAAUUGACUGGCUCACGAUUACUCAAUUUCCACUGUUCUGUGGGCUUUGGGAAUGGAACCGGGCCAGAUAUU